rnacentral:rRNA from 1 species
AUUGAACGCUGGCGGCAGGCCUAACACAUGCAAGUCGAGCGAGCGGCGGACGGGUGAGUAAUGUAUGGGGAACUGCCCGAUAGAGGGGGAUAACUACUGGAAACGGUGGCUAAUACCGCAUACCAUCAGAUGAUCCCAUAUGGGAUUAGCUAGUGGGUGGGGUAACGGCUCACCAAGGCGACGAUCACUAGCUGGUCUGAGAGGAUGAUCAGCAAAACUGGAACGGAGACACGGUCCAGACUCCUACGGGAGGCAGCAGUGGGGAAUAUUGCACAAUGGGCGCAAGCCUGAUGCAGCCAUGCCGCGUGUAUGAAGAAGGCCUUAGGGUUGUAAAGUACUUUCAGCGGGGAGGCGUUACCCGCAGAAGAAGCACCGGCUAACUCCGUGCCAGCAGCCGCGGUAAUAC